CUCUAAUAUUCUCUCUCUUUCCUUCUCUCUGUCAGCCUUCUCCACUCUUACUGCCGUACGCCACCUUUACCUUCUCACUGCUUACACGUCUAACUCUCAAGGUCACCGCAGAACUAUCAUUGUGCGCCUUAUACCCAGUUCGAGGAGAACCAUUGUUGCCGGAGACAGAAUCAUCUGCCAUCCUCCUUCCUUCUCUGGCUCUGCGACUAUAAUUUUCUCUACCUCUCUAACUAUCUGUGACACUGUGACUACAUCUCUUUUUCUAUGGUCUCUGGCUCGCUGCUGCUCUUCUCCUCCUCUUUGCCACCAAUUUAGGGUGAAGAAAAAAAGAGGACAAAAAAAGUGAUCCAAAAACCACUUAAGGACAAAGAAUGAGAAGAUUCUAAUGAUGUCCAUGACGAGUUAAAGAUCUAUGACCAAGGCUCCUGCCAUGAAGGAUUAGUAUAAUUCUAAUCUAUUUUCUUAGUUUUUUCUUAUAAAAUCUUACCUGAAUUGGCGGUGUAGGAAAGGAGAAGAGCAACAGCAAGUCAAAUAUUAGAGAGGAAGAGAUACAGUCACACUGUCACAAAUAGUUAAAGAGGUAGAAAAAAUUGUAGUCAUAAAGCUAAAGAGCCAGAGAGGGGGAGAAGGGUGGUGGACGAUUUUGCCUCUGGUGACGACAACAGUUCUCCUCAGACUGGGUGUCAGGUGUGCAAUGACAAUUCUGGGAUGACCUUGAGAGUUAGACAUGUAAGCAGUGAGAGGGGGAGGGUAGCAUACAGUGAUGAGAAUAGAGGAGGUGGCGGAGAGAAUGAGAGAGAGAAUCUGAGAGUAGGAGAGUGACAGUACAGAGAAAAUAAGGUUAGGAGUUAGGAUUUUUUGAGAACUAAUAUAUAUAGUAGAUAUAUUUUAAUCAUUUUGUUUAAUAAGGAUAACGUAGUCAUUUUAUAUAAAAAAAAAUAAUUAGACUUAUUUAAAAUUUGGUUUACUUGAUUUUUUAUCGAACUGAUUUAUUCGGUUCUGUUGAGUUUGAAAAACUGAAAUGAUGAUCAAACAUUAUUAAAAUAUAAAUUAAAAAAUUAUUAAAAUAUUAAGUGUUCAAAUUAUUUCCAAUUGGUUGUUUGAUGUUGCUGUGAGGAAGAAAAAAAAAUUAAUUUCCAUAAUGGGUCAAAAGCCAAAUAGGCCCAAGCAGAACAUUGAAUUAAUUUAGCCUUGUGCAAAUAAGCCCAUGAUUUAUUAUGGACUACAAUAUUUGACCUCUUGUCCUUGCAGAUGUCCCUCUUUGAUGACAAAAGGGGGAGAAAAAUGAAAAAGGGGAAGAAAAAGAGCUGAAUUGAAACUGUUUAGUUUCCUUGAUUAAAACUGUUUUUGCCUUGUUUUGCUCUGUUUUAUGAUUUGAUUUGGCUCUGUUUUGAGCACUCUAUUUUAGUGGAUUGAUUUCACCUUGAGUUUUGAUUAUUAUUGAUAAAUAUAUUUACUCAAGUGCACAUGUGCUGUCUGGACUAUGGAAUUUUAUUAAGGUGUUUGAUAAGCAUUUUCUUGUGAAAAUAUGGCUCGGUCUUAAAGGUUCCAAAUUCUUGAAAUCUUAUCUUUUAAGAACCUUUGGAGCUUGUACACAAUAUUUUCUUUCUUGAAUAUUUUGUUAAUCAGGCACACAUUAAGGGAGAGCACAUUGAACAAAAGAAAGGGGGAGAUUUCGGCAAAUCUUCAAAGGAAAGUUUUCUACCCUAACUCUUUCAAUUCAGUUUAAUAAUGUUUAUCAUCAAGGGAGAGAUUGUUUAGUCGUUUAGAAAACUGAAAUGAUGAUUAAACAUUAUUAAAAUAUAAAUUAAAAAAUUAUUAAAAUAUUAAGUGUUCAAAUUAUUUCCAUUUGGUUGUUUGAUGUUGCUGUUAGGAAGAAAAAAAAAU